UACCAGACUCCUACGGGAGGCAGCAGUGGGGAAUAUUGGGCAAUGGAGGAAACUCUGACCCAGCAACGCCGCGUGAAUGAUGAAGGUCUUCGGAUUGUAAAGUUCUUUUCUAAGGGAAGAAGAAAGUGACGGUACCUUAGGAAUAAGCCUCGGCUAACUACGUGCCAGCAGCCGCGGUAAUACGUAGGGAGCGAGCGUUGUCCGGAAUUACUGGGUGUAAAGGGAGCGUAGGCGGGCGAGUAAGUUGAAUGUUAAAUCUACCGGCUUAACUGGUAGCUGCGUUCAAAACUUCUUGUCUUGAGUGAAGUAGAGGCAGGCGGAAUUCCUAGUGUAGCGGUGAAAUGCGUAGAUAUUAGGAGGAACACCAGUGGCGAAGGCGGCCUGCUGGGCUUUAACUGACGCUGAGGCUCGAAAGCGUGGGGAGCAAACAGGAUUAGAUACCCUUGUAC
rnacentral:rRNA from 1 species